GUUUAUCCUGCAUAGCUCAAACUGGUUGCCAAAGUUGAACCCCCGAGAACCAGUCAAGAAUUCUACAGUUCCCAGAGAAAUUAAUGUGAGUUACAUGUGGUUUAUAUUGAAACAUGCCACCAAUUGAGAAGCUUAAGUUACACCACGGAUGGUGAGAAAGGACUUUCCAGUUAUCACCAAGCAUCAGUAGAGACGGAGUUUCACCAUGUUGGCCGGGCUAGUCUCAAACAUCUGACCUCAAGUGAUCCACCCACCUCGGCCUCCAAAAGUGAUGGGAUUACAGGUGUGAGCCACUGCACCCGGCCCGGAACUCUUCCAUGAAGGGGAAGAAAAAGAUAAAACCAAACACAGCCCAGAAAUUCUGGCGUACAAAUGAGAAAAGAACUACUUCUUAGCCACCUGUGCCAGAGUCUCGCUCUGUUGCCCAGGCUGAAGUGCAAUGAUUUGAUCUCGGCUGACCGCAACACCCACCUCCUGGAUUCAAGCAAUUCUCCUGCCUCAGCCUCCCGAGUAGCUGGGA